rnacentral:rRNA from 1 species
AUUGAACGCUGGCGGCAUGCCUUACACAUGCAAGUCGAACGGUAACGCGGGGGCAACCCUGGCGACGAGUGGCGAACGGGUGAGUAAUACAUCGGAACGUGUCCUGUUGUGGGGGAUAACCCAUCGAAAGGUGAGCUAAUACCGCAUGAUCUGGAGACAGCAAAGCGAGGGGACCGGUAACGGCCUUGCGCGAUUGGAGCGGCCGAUGUCCGAUUAGCUAGUUGGGUGGGGUAAAGCCCACCAAGGCAACGAUCGGUAGCUGGUCUGAGAGGAUGAUCAGCCACACUGGGACUGAGACACGGCCCAGACUCCUACGGGAGGCAGCAGUGGGGAAUUUUGGACAAUGGGGGCAA